rnacentral:rRNA from 1 species
ACCUGAAACCGUGUACGUACAAGCAGUGGGAGCACAGGUUUACCUGUGUGACUGCGUACCUUUUGUAUAAUGGGUCAGCGACUUAUAUUCUGUAGCAAGGUUAACCGAAUAGGGGAGCCGGAGGGAAACCGAGUCUUAAUUGGGCGUUAAGUUGCAGGGUAUAGACCCGAAACCCGGUGAUCUAGCCAUGGGCAGGUUGAAGGUUGGGUAACACUAACUGGAGGACCGAACCGACUAAUGUUGAAAAAUUAGCGGAUGACCUGUGGCUGGGGGUGAAAGGCCAAUCAAACCGGGAGAUAGCUGGUUCUCCCCGAAAGCUAUUUAGGUAGCGCCUCGUGAAUUCAUCUCCGGGGGUAGAGCACUGUUUCGGCUAGGGGGCCAUCCCGGCUUACCAACCCGAUGCAAACUGCGAAUACCGGAGAAUGUUAUCACGGGAGACACACGGCGGGUGCUAACGUCCGUCGUGAAGAGGGAAACAACCCAGACCGCCAGCUAAGGUCCCAAAGUCAUGGUUAAGUGGGAAACGAUGUGGGAAGGCCCAGACAGCCAGGAUGUUGGCUUAGAAGCAGCCAUCAUUUAAAGAAAGCGUAAUAGCUCACUGGUCGAGUCGGCCUGCGCGGAAGAUGUAACGGGGCUAAACCAUGCACCGAAGCUGCGGCAGCGACGCUUAUGCGUUGUUGGGUAGGGGAGCGUUCUGUAAGCCUGCGAAGGUGGCCUGUGAGGGUUGCUGGAGGUAUCAGAAGUGCGAAUGCUGACAUAAGUAACGAUAAAGCGGGUGAAAAGCCCGCUCGCCGGAAGACCAAGGGUUCCUGUCCAACGUUAAUCGGGGCAGGGUGAGUCGACCCCUAAGGCGAGGCCGAAAGGCGUAGUCGAUGGGAAACGGGUUAAUAUUCCCGUACUUGGUGUUACUGCGAAGGGGGGACGGAGAAGGCUAUGUUGGCCGGGCGACGGUUGUCCCGGUUUAAGCGUGUAGGUGUGUGUUCCAGGUAAAUCCGGUUCACUUUAACACUGAGGCGUGACGACGAGGCACUACGGUGCUGAAGCAACAAAUGCCCUGCUUCCAGGAAAAGCCUCUAAGCAUCAGGUAACAUCAAAUCGUACCCCAAACCGACACAGGUGGUCAGGUAGAGAAUACCAAGGCGCUUGAGAGAACUCGGGUGAAGGAACUAGGCAAAAUGGUGCCGUAACUUCGGGAGAAGGCACGCUGACACGUAGGUGAAGUGAUUUACUCAUGGAGCUGAAGUCAGUCGAAGAUACCAGCUGGCUGCAACUGUUUAUUAAAAACACAGCACUGUGCAAACACGAAAGUGGACGUAUACGGUGUGACGCCUGCCCGGUGCCGGAAGGUUAAUUGAUGGGGUCAGCGCAAGCGAAGCUCCUGAUCGAAGCCCCGGUAAACGGCGGCCGUAACUAUAACGGUCCUAAGGUAGCGAAAUUCCUUGUCGGGUAAGUUCCGACCUGCACGAAUGGCGUAAUGAUGGCCAGGCUGUCUCCACCCGAGACUCAGUGAAAUUGAACUCGCUGUGAAGAUGCAGUGUACCCGCGGCAAGACGGAAAGACCCCGUGAACCUUUACUAUAGCUUGACACUGAACAUUGAGCCUUGAUGUGUAGGAUAGGUGGGAGGCUUUGAAGUGUGGACGCCAGUCUGCAUGGAGCCGACCUUGAAAUACCACCCUUUAAUGUUUGAUGUUCUAACGUGGACCCGUUACCCGGGUUGCGGACAGUGUCUGGUGGGUAGUUUGACUGGGGCGGUCUCCUCCUAAAGAGUAACGGAGGAGCACGAAGGUUGGCUAAUCCUGGUCGGACAUCAGGAGGUUAGUGCAAUGGCAUAAGCCAGCUUGACUGCGAGCGUGACGGCGCGAGCAGGUGCGAAAGCAGGUCAUAGUGAUCCGGUGGUUCUGAAUGGAAGGGCCAUCGCUCAACGGAUAAAAGGUACUCCGGGGAUAACAGGCUGAUACCGCCCAAGAGUUCAUAUCGACGGCGGUGUUUGGCACCUCGAUGUCGGCUCAUCACAUCCUGGGGCUGAAGUAGGUCCCAAGGGUAUGGCUGUUCGCCAUUUAAAGUGGUACGCGAGCUGGGUUUAGAACGUCGUGAGACAGUUCGGUCCCUAUCUGCCGUGGGCGCUGGAGAACUGAGGGGGGCUGCUCCUAGUACGAGAGGACCGGAGUGGACGCAUCACUGGUGUUCGGGUUGUCAUGCCAAUGGCACUGCCCGGUAGCUAAAUGCGGAAGAGAUAAGUGCUGAAAGCAUCUAAGCACGAAACUUGCCCCGAG